rnacentral:rRNA from 1 species
CAGGCCUAACACACGCAAGUCGAACGGUAGCACAGAGGAGCUUGCUCCUUGGUGACGAGUGGCGGACGGGUGAGUAAUGUCUGGGAAACUGCCCGAUGGAGGGGGAUAACUACUGGAAACGGUAGCUAAUACCGCAUAACGUCGCAAGACCAAAGAGGGGGACCUUCGGGCCUCUUGCCAUCGGAUGUGCCCAGAUGGGAUUAGCUAGUAGGUGGGGUAACGGCUCACCUAGGCGACGAUCCCUAGCUGGUCUGAGAGGAUGACCAGCCACACUGGAACUGAGACACGGUCCAGACUCCUACGGGAGGCAGCAGUGGGGAAUAUUGCACAAUGGGCGCAAGCCUAAUGCAGCCAUGCCGCGUGUAUGAAGAAGGCCUUCGGGUUGUAAAGUACUUUCAGCGAGGAGGAAGGCGUUGUGGUUAAUAACCGCAACGAUUGACGUUACUCGCAGAAGAAGCACCGGCUAACUCCGUGCCAGCAGCCGCGGUAAUACGGAGGGUGCAAGCGUUAAUCGGAAUUACUGGGCGUAAAGCGCACGCAGGCGGUCUGUCAAGUCGGAUGUGAAAUCCCCGGGCUCAACCUGGGAACUGCAUCCGAAACUGGCAGGCUAAGUCUUGUAGAGGGGGGUAGAAUUCCAGGUGUAGCGGUGAAAUGCGUAAGAUCUGGAGGAAUACCGGUGGCG